UUAGGCUUAAAUGCACUUUUGAUCCCCCUAUUUUCAAAAAAAUGAAGUUUUGGUCCCCCUAUUUUAAAAACCAACUUUUUAGUCCCCCAAUUUUAACUUUUUUUGAGUUUUGAUCCCCCAUCCCAUUUUAGGGCUAAUUUUGUUGAUGUGGCAUUGUCAUUAAUACAUAUCAGCGUCUACGUGGACAAAUUUAAUAUCCAUGUCAUUAUUUAUUUUUAAUUCAAUAAAACUUAUUUUAUAAAAUAUUUUAAUUAUUAAAAUUAUAGUAUUUUUUAAAAAGAAAUCAAUCAAAAAAUAAUUCAAAAACAUCAAAAAUCACA
rnacentral:lncRNA from 1 species